UUUGGACAUUUUUAUUAGCAUGAAUGAGGAUUUAACUUUUCCUCUAGUUUUCUUCUAUUUACUGUCUUACUCCAUUAUGUAUAAAGUCAGUUUUAUUUAUUUACAUAAUAUUUUUCACAGGUGGGUCUGAAGUAGAUGGAAACAUUUUAUUUGGUUCUACUACCUUGAGAGGCAGAGCUAGUCAUGACAUAAUUCUAAAUAUAUGAGAUGUCAUUGCUUAAUGAAAGCUUGAAAAUGCCACAAGAAUAUGAUUCCUUGCUCUAAAUUGUGAUCAGUUCAGGCAAUCAAGAUUAAAUUUGAAACCAGGAUACAGUAGGAAUUAAAUUUCACAAGAAUUCUGUGUAUACCUCUUCGUUUUAGUCAUGCAUACUUUUGUGUAGUAGAAGUAAAAGAAUUAUCCUCUGCUUUAUUUAAGUGAAUGUGCAUUUUAGCUCAAGUAAACAAAAAAUAGCAAAUUUAGGUUCAUACUGAAUCUGGGUUACAAAUAUUUCUAUGAUUUUGUUAAUGGAUAAUAAUAUUAAUACCAAAUACAUGUGAUAAAAACAAAAAACUAGCAGCCUGGUCUGGAUAAUCAUAAUGGAUAGUAUGGCUUUGUAUAAUUCUGUUCUGUGUAAUCCAAAACAAUGUAGAAUGCUAGUUAUACCUUUUCUGACAGAAGUACUAGGCAUUUUUCCCCCCAGGAUCAGCACAUGGGAGCUAGUCUCAAAGGAUGGUCAAAUUAUGCCAGGGAAGGCAUAAAGGUAGGCUUGGCUAUAGUGAAGUAUCUCUGCCUCCAUGCAUAGAGGUAUCACUGGACAGAUGGCUACCUCCACUUUUCUCUACUUCAUUAGCUAUCUGGACCAACUCCAGUGAUAAGUAUUAUGAGAAUGACCAGUCAUUUUUUCCUUUAUCAGUUCCUAUCUCAGUUUGGUCUCGAUGAUGAGGAGGGAAGCAAUAUGCCUUGAGAGCAUGAUUGCUGUUAUUCCACAUUCCAUUAUAAUCAAAUAUGAGAUAAGAUGAGUCCAAGAAAUGUCUUGUAAACCUGUGCUCUGGAGGACUUUUAGAAAGCUCAAAGACCUUGAUAGAAGCUGAAAUUCUGUGUGUGAGAAUGAUAGGCUUUAUAAAUUGAAAAUGAAGAAUGAUACGUGUAGUGGGCAGGUAGAAUGUUUUAAUGCUUGUUUGAUAAGAAAUGUUUUUAUUUGCUGAAAUUGUCAUUGAGAGAUCUGGUAUCAUUGUUCGCAAUCUAGAGAUGGAAUUGGAGAGAAUCUUGCUUCUAUAAAAAUUGCAAAAUAUGACAUUCAAAGUAUAGCAUAGCAGCAGGGACACUAUCCAGAUGGCAAAAGGUGACAGGUUUUGUAUCAACAACAGGCAAAGACAAAAUAAAAAGAGGGAAGAGAGGGUCUUAGUGAAAACCCUCAGUGCCUAUUAAGGAUGAAAUGGUAAUCGCUUUUUGGUGGGAAUCAGUACAUUUGCAUAAAUAUGUUUAUUACAAGUAGUAGUUUUCUUUCUCCUGCAGUAUUCCAGCCAUUCACAGCAAAUUAUAUUGAUUAACAUUUCCAUUGGACAUAAAUGUUAUCAUACAUAUAUCACUUAUUUACAGAGGAUUGUUUUCACUUGCUAAAGCAUUUAGCAUUUGAGUGCUGUGCUCAUUCUGCUCGUCCCACAUUCCUUUCCCCCUUUCCCUUUUAACAGUACUCAGAAGCUCUUAAGACUGCAGAACUCAUCAGGACAAGAGCAGUACCCUUUUGGAACUAUUACUUCUGUAAAUCAUUAACACACACAUACAUUUUGUUAUCUGUCAGAACACAAACUCUCUUUUGGUGUUGUACAUAUUGUACUAAGAAGCUUACAGGUCAAGUCUCCAGUAAGACAUAGGGAUCUCUGCCAACCUGCUUUCCCAUGAAUUUCUUUUUAUAGAGUUCUGCAAGAGCCUGUAGCACCCUGGUGAUGUUAUAUGAUAAGGCUUUACCUUAGGAGUAGGGAAUGAAGAUCAUUGGAUUCCCCCAAUCUCUUUCUGAAGAUGUGGAGUCCAGCUGCUUGUUCCUUCCAGCCCCUACAGUUGGUUUCCAUUAGUUUGAAUUGUUUUAAUUUUUUUAAGGCUGUCCCUGUAAUGGAAAGAGUUGGGUAAAACACCCUUUUAGUUUGGAAGCGAAAAAUCAACUUCAUAUUGCCCACAGGCUGAUGUUCUGAAUUGAAGAUUUAUAAAAGUUCCCUCUGGUUAAUAAUGUUUUCUUGCCUGCCUUGGGAUUGUGUAAGGUCUGCUUUCAGUGUAUUAUAUGUAGAGUACCUGAUCCAGUUUCUGUUAUCUUCCACUGAAGCUAAUUUGGACCCAUAAAGUAGAAUACAUGAUGAAUUGUAGAAUAAAGCGGAGACCUCUGGAAGCUUAGCAUUUAGUAAAUGAUCGUUCUGUAAAGUUAAUUACUGUGCAAUAUAGAAUAUGAUCUAU